rnacentral:misc_RNA from 1 species
UCAAAUCUCAAGCCUUGCUUGGUAUUGGGUCUUCGUCUCUCUCGUCUUUGUACGGGUAUUGACGUGCCUGAAAAUCAAUGGCAGUGCCUUAUUAGACUCAAGCGUAGCAGACUGACACGCUUUAGAGAACUUUUGUAGGUCCUGUCGAUAAAAAUAAUAA